rnacentral:pre_miRNA from 1 species
AACAACCGGGAGUAAAGAUAUCUUUACUCCCGGUUGUUCUUUAGUCUCGAUUGUUCUCAACAACCAGGAGUAAAGAUAUCCUUACUCUCGGUUGUU